rnacentral:snRNA from 1 species
UUGUAGAAGGCCGAAGGGUUUUC